rnacentral:rRNA from 1 species
GAUGAACGCUAGCGGGAGGCUUAACACAUGCAAGUCGAGGGGCAGCAUAGAGUAGCAAUACUUUGAUGGCGACCGGCGCACGGGUGAGUAACGCGUAUGUAACCUACCCUGUACAGGGGGAUAGCCCGGAGAAAUUCGGAUUAAUACCCCAUAAUGAUAUCGAGAGGCAUCUUUUGAUAUUUAAAGCUUCGGCGGUACGGGAUGGGCAUGCGUGACAUUAGCUAGUUGGUAAGGUAACGGCUUACCAAGGCUGCGAUGUCUAGGGGUCCUGGGAGGGUGAACCCCCACACUGGUACUGAGACACGGACCAGACUCCUACGGGGGGCAGCAGUGAGGAAUAUUGGUCAAUGGGCGUAAGCCUGAACCAGCCAUCCCGCGUGAAGGAAGAAGGCGCUAUGCGUCGUAAACUUCUUUUCCAGAGGAAUGAAAUUUUGUACGCGUACAGAACUGAAGGUACUCUGGGAAUAAGCAUCGGCUAACUCCGUGCCAGCCGCCGCCGUAAUAC